rnacentral:lncRNA from 1 species
ACAUUUUUGGAGGACACGUGGACAAGCCCAGGCAAAGGCGAACAGCACACGGUACAUCAAUCACACAAGGAACAUCUGGUGAUUCCCUUGGGGGAAACAGAACGAUCCUGAGAGUUGGGGCACUGCCAAUGGGAAAUUCACACAGAUGAAAGCAACAGAACUCAUGCUUGCAGUUUCAAGCGGGUGGAGGAAGGACGAGGAGAGUGGGUAAGCAGCAAGGUGAAAUACAGGGUUCCCCGCCGAGUCUCACUUGUUAUAUAUGAAAAGGUUUGAAAUCAGUGUUUUAAAAUAUCGGAAAUGGAAGUUGUGAAAGCAAAACUAUUCUUUGGUUUCAGAUGUAUUGUCAUCUAGGGACCUUGUCAAGGAAUUUGCUAGAAUAGUUUUAGUGACCCAAAAAUAAAUAUUGAUUGGUUCUGUAUGUAUUUAUAAAAGUAUGCCUGGUCUGGGGGAUCUGAGGCUACCGGAUCAUAAGAGAGUACAGUGAAACCAGAGUGCGCUAACCUGCACAUCUUUAGGGACUAAUAACAUCUUCCAGGCUUGCCGUUUUUGAUGUGCUGCCUGUGAAAAGCAGAGUUUUGGGUGUUUUUCAGCACCAAAGUCCCCUCAAAGCAGAAGAACAAAACCAUCAAGAUGUUACUGGUAAUUCAUAAUCUGAAGCUGAGCGUAUAAGUAUUUGUCUUUUUUAAUUGUGGAUACAUUGAAUUUUGGCUCCCAAAUGGUGUUCUUAUGAUUUCAGGUUUUCCCUCAGAGAAACUACUAUACCAACAAGCCCUGUCAGAAGUCACCUCCAAAUGCAUGGAACACCAGGAAUGACCCCUCCCUUCCUUCAGAGCUGAUGUUUCCUUGGCAAGCACUUUUUCUCAGACUAUCUUGCCGUCUAAUUUCUAUACCGCCUCAAGGUGACACUUUGUCUAGCAAAAAGUGAUGCAAAGCUCUUUUGCAAAAGCCCCUCAAAUUAAUACACCUUACAUAUUUUCACUAAUAACACUUUCCUUGGAAGCC